rnacentral:rRNA from 1 species
CUACGGGUUGCUGCAGUGGGGAAUAUUGCACAAUGGGCGCAAGCCUGAUGCAGCCAUGCCGCGUGUAUGAAGAAGGCCUUCGGGUUGUAAAGUACUUUCAGCGGGGAGGAAGGGAGUAAAGUUAAUACCUUUGCUCAUUGACGUUACCCGCAGAAGAAGCACCGGCUAACUCCGUGCCAGCAGCCGCGGUAAUACGGAGGGUGCAAGCGUUAAUCGGAAUUACUGGGCGUAAAGCGCACGGAGGCGGUUUGUUAAGUCAGAUGUGAAAUCCCCGGGCUCAACCUGGGAACGGCAUCUGAUACUGGCAAGCUUGAGUUUGGUAGAGGGGGGUAGAAUUCCAGGUGUAGCGGUGAAAUGCGUAGAGAUCUGGAGGAAUACCGGUGGCGAAGGCGGCCCCCUGGACGAAGACUGACGCUCAGGUGCGAAAGCGUGGGGAGCAAACAGGAUUAGAUACCCCUGUAGUC